AUGUUCCUUCCCUAUCCAUCUUACUAUAUAUAUAUAUCUCUAUCAUUACAAUUUAACUCCACCAACUCAACAAAAACUCAUUUCAUUUCAUUUUCGUCCUCUCUUCUCUCUCACUCCAUCCUUUCACUUCAACACAAUCCAUUCCCAUUCAACAACACCUCUUUUUUUUCAUCUUCUCCCACUCAGGUUAGAUUUCAAUUAUCCUCUUAUUCCUCUAUAACAAAACUACGUUGCCUUUAA